UACGUAGGGGCCGAGCGUUGUCCGGAGUUAUUGGGCGUAAAGCGCGCGCAGGCGGCUUGGCGCGCCCGACGUGAAAGCCCCCGGCUUAACCGGGGAGGGUCGUCGGGUACGGCCAGGCUUGAGGGCGGGAGAGGGUGGUGGAAUUCCCGGUGUAGUGGUGAAAUGCGUAGAGAUCGGGAGGAACACCUGUGGCGAAGGCGACUCUUUGGCCUGUAACUGACGCUGAGGCGCGAAAGCGUGGGGAGCAAACAGG
rnacentral:rRNA from 1 species